UACGUAGGGGGCUAGCGUUGUCCGGAAUCAUUGGGCGUAAAGAGCGUGUAGGCGGCCCGGUAAGUCCGCUGUGAAAGUCGGGGGCUCAACCCUCGAAUGCCGGUGGAUACUGUCGGGCUAGAGUGCGGAAGAGGCGAGUGGAAUUCCCGGUGUAGCGGUGAAAUGCGCAGAUAUCGGGAGGAACACCAAUUGCGAAGGCAGCUCGCUGGGACGUGACUGACGCUGAGACGCGAAAGCGUGGGGAGCAAACAGG
rnacentral:rRNA from 1 species